rfam:Curvibacter sp. GWA2_63_95 gwa2_scaffold_359, whole genome shotgun sequence.
CGCGUUUUUCGCCCAGGCGGAGCUCGACCGCCGUUUGAAGAGUUGAAGGCUUACAUCGACCAGCACCGUGACACCUACGGGGUCGAGCCGAUCUGCAAGGUUUUGCAGAUUGCCCCG